AAAGAAAAGUCGUAACAAGGUCUCCGUUGGUGAACCAGCGGAGGGAUCAUUA
rnacentral:rRNA from 1 species